AUGCACGCUGGCGGCGUGCCUCAUACAUGCAAGUCGAGCGAACAGACGAGGAGCUUGCUCCUCUGACGUUAGCGGCGGACGGGUGAGUAACACCUGGAUAACCUACCUAUAAGACUGGGAUAACUUCGGGAAACCGGAGCUAAUACCGGAUAAUAUAUUGAACCGCAUGGUUCAAUAGUGAAAGACGGUUUUGCUGUCACUUAUAGAUGGAUCCGCGCCGCAUUAGCUAGUUGGUAAGGUAACGGCUUACCAAGGCGACGAUGCGUAGCCGACCUGAGAGGGUGAUCGGCCACACUGGAACUGAGACACGGUCCAGACUCCUACGGGAGGCAGCAGUAGGGAAUCUUCCGCAAUGGGCGAAAGCCUGACGGAGCAACGCCGCGUGAGUGAUGAAGGUCUUCGGAUCGUAAAACUCUGUUAUUAGGGAAGAACAAAUGUGUAAGUAACUAUGCACGUCUUGACGGUACCUAAUCAGAAAGCCACGGCUAACUACGUG
rnacentral:rRNA from 1 species